rnacentral:lncRNA from 1 species
UGAAGUAGAUUUCUUAUUAAGCAUUGCACUUACUUUUGUUGUCUACCGUUUUAGGUACCGAGAGUUGGGGCGUAUGAGAUAAUUGGCCGAUGAGAACUAGUUAGAUAGAUUUUAAAAUUUGGACAUAUGAUUUAUUUUGAUUUGAGGUUGAUUAAUUAGAUAUCUAGUAGAUAUUGUUCAGUUUUAUUUUUAAUUAAUAAAUUAUUUAGUCUUUUACUGAGAUAGUGGCUUUGGAUCUAUUUAAGGCAUUCUGUUUUUAGAGAUUCUUCCUGUGGAUUCGUGGCCGGUUGUUGUGGUUCGGAUUGAGCAGUC